GGAUGUGAGGGUGAUCUGUCUGUGACAUCUGCCACCCUAUUGAUAGCCCGAGUUGACUUGGCUGAUCUGGCCAGCUAGGCGGGUGUCCCCUUCCUCCCUCACCACUCCAUGUGUGUCCCUCCCAAAGCUGUGCUCGGUGAAAGAGGAUUACCAUCCCUGAUAGAAGAGGACUGGUCUUUGGUCAAGGGUAUACGGGCAACUGCGCUCCCCUGCUAGAACCUCCAAACAAGCUCUCAAGGUCCACCAGUCCCACUCCCAUGAUAACCCAUUAAUCCAUUGACCCAUUAAUCCAUUGACCCAUUAAUCCAUGAGUGGAUUAAUCUAUUCA
ensembl:misc_RNA 7SK 7SK RNA